rnacentral:miRNA from 1 species
UUGAAGGAUUUGUAAGAAAUGUUUGAGGGAAUUGACUCGGUGUUAAACACUCAAUCAGUUCUCUCAAACAUUUCUUACAAAUCCUUCAA